UACGUAGGAGGCAAGCGUUGUCCGGAAUUACUGGGCGUAAAGCGCGUGUAGGUGGUGGGACAAGUCUGCUGUGAAAGCGCCUGGCUUAACCGGGCGAGGUCGGCGGAAACUGUCCGACUCGAGGACGGUAGAGGGGGGUGGAAUUCCCGGUGUAGUGGUGAAAUGCGUAGAGAUCGGGAGGAACACCUGUGGCGAAGGCGGCCGACUGGGCCGACCCUGACGCUGAGGCGCGAAGGCGUGGGGAGCGAACGGG
rnacentral:rRNA from 1 species